ACAGGCCCAGGGAUCAACAUCAAGCAAACAUGUGGGGUUGUGCAAGUUCAGGACAAAGCAUCUCUCCUUUCAAACCAGUCCCUCUUUUUGCUUUGCAUUUCCUGGUUAAUGGCACCACCAUCUACCCAACGACCUGUGUCUUCAUGAGACUGAUGCGCUGCCUACUGUACUAAAGCGGCAAUUAACCUGUAUCUUUAUAUGUUAUACCCCAAAUUCCUGAAGAAUCCAAAGGGCAUGCCUCUUAGCCCAUGUCAGCUAGACAAUAAUACUUCUAAGACUUCUACAGCAGCUUCACGGGGAGCCCACGAUAAAGAAGAGCGGAUCUCAAACAGUCCGAGCCAGGUGCCCUAAUGGAAUGAGAGUCUGGAGGAAUCUUGGAAAAGGGUGUGUGUUUUGCAUGUGAGAAAAGGGCACAUUAUUUGUGACUGAAGAACAGAUCAUUGCAGCUUUAAAAACGUAGCUGCAAAUUCUUUGCAUCUGGAUGGGCUUUGUGACUGCUUCAAACAACAGAGCCUGAUGGAAGUGACGCUGUGUGACUCCUGCUACUGGGUCAUAAAAGGUAGUGUGGCUCCUGUUCUGAUCUCCAAAACACUCGUCCUCAGAGCCAGGAGUCAAGAUGUAAGGAAACUGACCAUUUUGAGUCCAUGCUAGCCAGAGAGGCUACAUGGACAUGCUCCGGUUGGCAGUCCCAGCUGAUCACAGCCUUCCUGCCAUCCCAACCAAGGUCUUGGACAUGAGUAUGCAGAAGCCAUCUUGGAGCCUCCAGACCAGUCCAUAUAACAAGUGGAUACCACCAAGUGACCUUGUCAAUGGCAUGUGAAAAAGAAGAAUCACUUGACUGAGCCCUGCCUGAUUAUGAUUGACAAAAUUAUAAAAUAUAAUAAAAUAAUUGUUUUAAGCUGCUAAGGUUUUGGGGUUUAAAAAAUUUUUAUAUAGAUAACUGGAACAGAAUUUGGCUCUCCAAAAAAAUCAAUGUCGUGGGUGAGAGGUGGGGAAGAUGAGGGAUCUGUUUAAAGCGCUAUAACAAUCAAAAUGCAAGGAUUUGGCCUUGAUUGGCUUCUGGUUCAAAAAAGUAGAUUACGGGUACUUUAAGGACAACUGGGGAGACUUGCACACAGACCAUUACACAGUAUUUUUAGGAAAUUAUUGUUAAUUGUGUUAUAUAUGAUCAUGGUUUUAUGGUUAUGUAGAAAAAUAUCUAUUUCUAGGAGAUACUGGUGUAAUUAUGAGUCAAGUGUCAUUAUGAUUGCAACUUCCUCUACAAUGGAUCAGCAAAACAAUUAUGUGUAUGUGUAUAUAUAUGCAUAUACACACACAUGAAGCAAAUAUAGCAAAAGGCUAACAAUUGUUUAAAUCUAGGUACUAAGUAUAUGCAUGUUCAUUAUGCCAGCCUUUCAACUUUUCUGUGUUUUAAGAUUUUCAUAAUAAAAAGCUGAGAAAAAAAGAGCAUAGAAAAUUUAACUCAUAAAAAUGUCUCCAACUUCAUUAGUCAUGAAGAAAAUUUAAAUUAAAACCCAAAUGCAAUACCACCCACCAGAAUGGCUAAAAUGAAAAGGACAGAAAAGCGUUGGCAAGGCUGUGAAUCAAGUGGAACACCCUCGCAGAAGUGUAAAAUGGUCCAAUCACUGUAGAAAACUGUUGGCCCUAUCUUCUAAAGCCAACAUGUAGCUACCCUAUGACCCAACAAUUCCUGUUCCAAAAGAAGUCCAUACAUAUGUUCAUCAAAACAUAUGAGUAAGUACUACUAACAAUAGCCUCAAGCUGCAAACUACCCAAAUGUACAUCAACAGGAAAAGGAAUAGAUAAAUGUUUGUUCAUAAAAUGGAAUGCUAUACAUCAACAAGCAUGAAGAAACCACAA
ensembl:lncRNA